rnacentral:rRNA from 1 species
AGCGAACGCUGGCGGCAGGCCUAACACAUGCAAGUCGAGCGCCCAGCAAUGGGAGCGGCAGACGGGAUAGUAACACGUGGGAACGUACCUUUCAGUUCGGAACAACCCAGGGAAACUUGGGCUAAUACCGAAUACGUCCGUAAGGAGAAAGAUUUAUCGCUGAAAGAUCGGCCCGCGUCUGAUUAGCUAGUUGGUGAGGUAAUGGCUCACCAAGGCGACGAUCAGUAGCUGGCUGAGAGGAUGAUCAGCAUCACUGGGACUGAGACACGGCCCAGACUCCUACGGGAGGCAGCAGUGGGGAAUAUUGGACAAUGGGCGCAAGCCUGAUCCAGCCAUGCCGCGUGGAUGAUGAAGGCCUUAGGGUUGUAAAGUCCUUUCGGCGGGGAAGAUAAUGACGGUACCCGCAGAA